rnacentral:rRNA from 1 species
GAUGAACGCUGGCGGCGUGCCUAAUACAUGCAAGUCGAGCGAACGGACGAGAAGCUUGCUUCUCUGAUGUCAGCGGCGGACGGGUGAGUAACACGUGGAUAACCUACCUAUAAGACUGGGAUAACUUCGGGAAACCGGAGCUAAUACCGGAUAAUAUUUUGAACCGCAUGGUUCAAAAGUGAAAGACGGUCUUGCUGUCACUUAUAGAUGGAUCCGCGCUGCAUUAGCUAGUUGGUAAGGUAACGGCUUACCAAGGCAACGAUGCACAGCCGACCUGAGAGGGUGAUCGGCCACACUGGAACUGAGACACGGUCCAGACUCCUACGGGAGGCAGCAGUAGGGAAUCUUCCGCAAUGGGCCAAAGCCUGACGGAGCAACGCCGCGUGAGUGAUGAAGGUCUUCGGAUCGUAAAACUCUGUUAUUAGGGAAGAACAUAUGUGUAAGUAACUGUGCACAUCUUGACGGUACCUAAUCAGAAAGCCACGGCUAACUACGUG